UCCUCUCCUCUCUCCCAUUUUGUACAUUAGGAACACAUACAUUUAAAAUAUUUGAGAAGGAAAUGCAUGACCUAAGAUGUUCUGCACAGAGUGUCAAGCCAUUGCAGCAUGUAAUUUUAGGGAUGAAAAUUGGUAUUGUUAAAAGGAGAUGCUGAUGUAUCCAAAAAUCUGCAGUCCCAAAGGAAAUGGCUGCAGUGUAAUUUGCUACAGAUUAAAACCAGAGGGGAAGGGUCUCUACUGCCUGUCCUACUGCACUAAGAAUAAACAAAGCACAUUUAAAAAUGAUUAAUGGUGAGAGGAUACAAAGAAUAUUCAUUAUAGCAGAUGUUAAUAAACAGUGUUUAAUAUGAAGAAGGCUGUGCAGGAUGUCUGAUAUUUAUUUAUGUCUGCUCAGGAUUACAGAAAGAGAAGAGUAUAAAUUGUUCCUGACAUCUCAAUUCUCAACAGAAUUCUGUUGCAUGUAGAAAAGCUAUGUAAUAUUUUUUGUUUAUUAUAAGCUAUAUGACCUCUGAGUGUUGUUAUAAAAUAAAGUGUUGACAAAUGCUUUCCUCUAAGCAGAAAACGGUGCUGUCAGCCUGGAAGUGUGGAAUUGCUGUGUUUCAGCCAGCACUAAUUCACUAAGUUUUGAAGUGGUAACUGUAAUGAAGAAAUGCAGGCUUCCAAGAGAUGCUUUUAUCAGAUUUGGGAGAUAUGAAGAAGAGUGGGUUAGAGAGUGAAAAGAAGAACAAAUAUCAUGGAAGUAUCAAGGGAUGAAAAUGGCCAUCCAAGUGCGCUCAACUCAAGCGUUCCAUCAGAAUGAAAAGGCUGGCAAAGGAUGAGUCCAUUCCCAUACUCUGACAGGAUAACAAUGACUACUACCCUGUUCCUUUGUUUAAGUGCCUUAGGAAUAUGAA